GGAUACCAGUGCACCCACACGCAAACCCGCCCCGCUUGCUGCGAUGAUCCAAUUGGACCGAACCAUUUUAAAACAAACAUGGGGCCUCUGCCCAGAUCACCGUGUCUUGUACGGCCGCUUUUUGCGAGGCAAUAUGCAUCGACUGUUGAUGCCCUCCAGCAAAGGCGUCAGAAGAUCACUCUUCGACUUAAACUCAGAGAGUUUCUGGAUGUCUUUUUUGAGGUCCAGGUAGGUUGGGGAAGGAAACGAUCAAGCAGAGCGGAGACCAGGCAGGCAGGGAUGGAUCCAGGCAAAAGGAAACUAACAGAGAAAAAGAUUCAAAUCAGACACAGUGUGCCAGGAUUCCCUGCUGCAUCCUGGACACCUGUGGAGGAGAGGGAGAAAAACGGCGAGCGGAAACCAAACAAAAACUGGACCAGAAGAGGGCGGCAGAGGAGCGGGAACUGUCCAGACCUGACAAAUUUAAGAUUGUUGCUGAAUCUGCAGAGGCCAGAAAUGAACAGCAAAAACCUUCAAACAGUUGAAUCCCCAGCUUGUCGUUGCCUGCUCCAGUUCCUGAAUGUCUUGAGCGAAGUCCCUCAGCCUGAAGAUCUGCCACCUUCCACAAGCCCUUAUUAUAACAAAUGAUGCGCAAUAUGACUCAUUUUACCAUAGAGGAAUUGUAGUUCCACUUCAUCUGUGAAUAACAUAAUAAACAGAAACACACAAUAAGAAAAACAAGCAGUAGUGUAUAAAUGCCGACAAUAAAAUAAAUUGGGUUGCAGGAAAAUAGUGGAAGAAAUACAUCUAAAAGAGGCACCAAAGAACCAUUUUUGUGAAGGAUUGUGAAGACAGUUUACUCCCACAGUUUUUAUCUGAUUUCUGCUCAUAUCACUAUACUAAAAAUCCCAUUCUGUGUUAAUAAAUUCCUUUCGAAACAUUUAUUAUCUGUGCACUUAGAAAGAACUUAAAUCGCAAUUCUGAGGAUUAAUCAUUGCAAAUAUCACUGAUAUACUCAUUCAAAAAGCUCGAAUGUUGCCAAAUAGCCAACACCUACAGAUCAAAUUUCCACUGUAUUGCUUAAUUUAUAAGAAAAAAAAAUAGAAGUAUAUUUCUUAAGCUACAUAAAAAAGGGUUCUUGACCUAUAUAAUUUAAAAGUCCCAUUCUGAUCUGGAUAGUCCAGCAGAUCCAGUUUGAUUUGAGUCCUCUGAGUUGUGUUGGCUUUGUUUUCUUCGAUUGCUAUUGAUAAUCUGCCAAUUAAAGUUUUGAAAGUGUCUAUUUUUCACAAAAUUUUCGAAAAACGCGCGGCCAAUGCUAAACUUUUUUCUUAGUCGCACAGACUCAUGGGAAAAGGGUUAAGGUUAGGAUUAUGGUUACGGUUAGGGUUAAACAAGCACAUGUGGAGAAUACAUUUCACACAUUUAGGUGACAGUUAAUGGGACUUUAACUUUAAAUAUGUACGUCCAGCAAAAAUAAUCCAGCCUUGGAGACACUUAGAAUGCAUGCGGGCAAUGCGAUUUUGGCUGCACGUAUCACGUGUGACCAAUAUGAAUUUCCAUCACUUUCUAUGCUGGUCGCACGAAAAAACAUCUGAAUAACAUCAGCCUAAAGUUAUUCACUAACAACAGCUUCUAUUUUUCUUGGGAUUUUGACUGAAAAAAACUCUAACCAAAAAGAAAAACGUGUGAGGAAGGAAGGUUGUUCCUCGAGGCAUAAAUUCAAAACAACCGUUAACACUUUUUUUUUUUUUUUUUUUAGUUCCAUGCCUGCAAGCAAAUUUUAAACAUUUUUCUCUGAAGUUUAAUCAAUACGAAAAAUAGGCUUCUUUUCUGUAAGUUCACUAAAAUACUUUAUCUGUCAGCGCACUGUAGUAAACACACCAGGAUUCACUUGCAAUUAAACUGAGAACUUCCUUUUUUUUUCAAAUCAGUUUGCCUGUUUGGUUCACAAAGGAGUUUAUCUAAGCUUUACCAGAGAUUUUUUUUUUUACCAAGCACUUUAGGUCCUCCGAUGGAGUGUUAAGGCCACAUAAAAAAAGUACUAUUUCAAGUUUAUUUUACUCGUAAAUUUAUGACUUUUAAUCUGGAGACUAAUGAAAUUAAUUUAAGUCAUAUACAACUUUAUUCUUGUAAUUUAACAGUAACAAUUUUUUUUCUCGUAAAUUUACAAAUUUUAAAGUCAUAAUUUUAAAAAAAUGUUUGUAAACUGGCCCGAAUACUCCAUUGUAAGACCCUUACAUUGAACUCUGAUGUACAAUUGAUCACAAGUUUUUUUUUUUUUUUUUUUCAAUUUAUGUUUAAGCCCUCUUGGAACAUCUCCCUGGAUUAAAAAGAACCUUGUAAACCAGUUCGGAUUGAAUUUUUCACCUGCACAACAUUUUAACAAAUAAAUUAGGACAUCUUACCAUUGUCUCUAACUUCGUCAGCAAAUUUUUCUUCUAUAUUUCAUGAGUUUGAAUUGGCAGCACCCAACAUUCUAACAUUUGAGAACUCCAUUAGAAUUUGAAAAAAGCCUGCAGCUGCCUUACUCUUCUUAAACCAUAACCAACCAUCAAGUCAACCCCCCCACCUGAAAUUCAAAAACUUAAUAAAGAUCCAUGAACUUUCAACAUUUGGAAACGUCCAACGGAGGUCUGGCCAACAGAUGUUCCUCAUUCUGUUAAGAUUCCCUUUCAACCACAUCUCUCUGGCUAAUUGAGGACAUUUUCUCACUUUUCAGCGUCCUUCCCGUGAUUGCUCAAUCGGUGGAUCACUUUUGCUUUCUGUUAACCUUAAUCUCCUUCUGCUUCCAGAAUCCCCCAGCCUGUCUCCUGCAUCCCUUCCAACUUGUUCAGCUUCCUGGAUUCCAGCCCUGUUCACGUCUGCCAAAUUCCCCUUCCCAAACAUCUGCUAUCUACCACAAUCACUUCUUGCAAUAAACAGUCUAUGAAACUUCUCAGACCCGCAUGUCUCAACCCUGGUACGGGGAUUUUUUAGUCCAAAUAUGACAAAUUAGAUAAGAUUAGAGAGCCCUACAGCAAAAACUUAAAAAUUACUGUAAAUGAAAUGCAAGUCUAAAGAAUUCCCGCAAUACUAAGAUACAUAAAUAUAAAAUGUUUUAUCAAAUAAUGUUUUGUUGUGUAUUCCUUUUUAUACACCCAUUCAAAAGGACAUAUUUUGUACUUUUAAUUUUAGAAAUAUUCAAAUAAAUACAUUUUUUAAAAAUCCCUAAAAAUAUAUAUGAUGUCAUAAUUUGUUAUUAUUUCAAGACAUUUUGUGG
ensembl:lncRNA